UGGGGAAUUUUGCACAAUGGGGGAAACCCUGAUGCAGCGACGCCGCGUGAUUUAGAAGGCCUUCGGGUUGUAAAAAUCUUUUGUAUGGGAAGAAAAUGACAGUACCAUACGAAUAAGGACCGGCUAAUUACGUGCCAGCAGCCGCGGUAAUACGUAAGGUCCGAGCGUUAUCCGGAUUCAUUGGGCGUAAAGCGCUCGUAGGCGGUCUGUUAGGUCGGCAAGUUAAAUCCGGGGGCUCAACCCCCGUCCGCUUCCGAUACCGGCAGACUUGAGUUUGGUAGGGGAAGGUGGAAUUCCUAGUGUAGCGGUGGAAUGCGCAGAUAUUAGGAAGAACACCGGUGGCGAAGGCGGCCUUCUGGGCCAUAACUGACGCUGAGGAGCGAAAGCUAGGGGAGCGAACAGG
rnacentral:rRNA from 1 species